GACAUGACGCGAACACAGUAAACGUUCAUUAUAGCAAGCAGUAGCAGCGCAAGAUUGCAACAUGAAAUUAUCAGUGGUGUUCUUGGUCUUGAUGAUAGUAGUAUGUGCCAUGUUUCAGGGAUCUGAAUCCAUUCCUCAUAAAUCUCGUGGACAGCGUGGACAGCGUAGAAACUGUAGUUCAACAACAGGUGCAACAACAGAUGCACCAAUAGCUACAACAUAGGUACAAUGGAAGAAUCUUCCGCCACUACGACCGCAACGAUGUAACACCACAAUAACCAGGGAUAAAUUGAACUUGAUGCCUAUUUAGUCAUGAAAUAGAAAUGUGUCUUACAUAGCUGUUGUCUAGUUUUUUUUUUAGUCAGUUGUUAAUCGGUAAUAUAAACGCUCAAUUCUUCUAAUAGCUAUAUAAAAAAAUUAGCUAAAGAUAGAGAUAAAAAAUUAAAUGAGUAGUAGUCUAUUCUAGACUGGACACAGCGAGUGCAAAUAAAUAGCAAAAAAAAUAAAA